AUUGAACGCUGGCGGCAUGCCUUACACAUGCAAGUCGAGCGGCAGCGCGGGGGCGACCCUGGCGGCGAGCGGCGAACGGGUGAGUAAUACAUCGGAACGUGUCCUGUCGUGGGGGAUAACCAGUCGAAAGAUUGGCUAAUACCGCAUGACCUCGUAAGAGAAAAGCGGGGGAUCGCAAGACCUCGCGCGAUUGGAGCGGCCGAUGUCGGAUUAGCUAGUUGGCGGGGUAAAAGCCCACCAAGGCGACGAUCCGUAGCUGGUUUGAGAGAACGACCAGCCAAACGGGGACUGAGACACGGCCCAGACUCCUACGGGAGGCAGCAGUGGGGAAUUUCGGACAAUGGGGGCAACCAUGAUCCAGCCAUGCCGCGUGUGUGAAGAAGGCCUUCGGGUUGUAAAGCACUUUCGGCCGGAACGAAAUCGCGCGGGUGAACAUCCCGCGUGGAUGACGGUACCGGAAGAAGAAGCACCGGCUAACUACGUGCCAGCCGCCGCAGUAA
rnacentral:rRNA from 1 species